rnacentral:rRNA from 1 species
GAGUAACACGUGGGUAACCUGCCCUGUACUCUGGGAUAAGCCUGGGAAACUAGGUCUAAUACCGGAUAUGACCUGUCACCGCAUGGUGGUGGGUGGAAAGUUCCGGCGGUACGGGAUGGACCCGCGGCCUAUCAGCUUGUUGGUGGGGUAAUGGCCUACCAAGGCGACGACGGGUAGCCGGCCUGAGAGGGUGACCGGCCACACUGGGACUGAGACACGGCCCAGACUCCUACGGGAGGCAGCAGUGGGGAAUAUUGCACAAUGGGCGAAAGCCUGAUGCAGCGACGCCGCGUGAGGGAUGACGGCCUUCGGGUUGUAAACCUCUUUCAGCAGGGACGAAGCGUGAGUGACGGUACCUGCAGAAGAAGCACCGGC